CAAGACCUCGCGCUAUUGGAGCGGCCGAUGUCCGAUUAGCUAGUUGGUGGGGUAAAGGCCUACCAAGGCGACGAUCGGUAGCUGGUCUGAGAGGAUGAUCAGCCACACUGGGACUGAGACACGGCCCAGACUCCUACGGGAGGCAGCAGUGGGGAAUUUUGGACAAUGGGCGCAAGCCUGAUCCAGCCAUGCCGCGUGAGUGAAGAAGGCCUUCGGGUUGUAAAGCUCUUUCGGCCGGAACGAAAUCGACCGGGUUAACACCCCGGUUGGAUGACGGUACCGGAAGAAGAAGCACCGGCUAACUACGUGCCAGCAGCCGCGGUAAUACGUAGGGUGCAGGCGUUAAUCGGAAUUACUGGGCGUAAAGCGUGCGCAGGCGGCUUCCUAAGUCAGAUGUGAAAUCCCCGAGCUUAACCUGGGAACU
rnacentral:rRNA from 1 species